rnacentral:rRNA from 1 species
AUACGGAGGGAGCGAGCGUUAAUCGGAAUUACUGGGCGUAAAGCGCGCGUAGGCGGCUUUGUAAGUCGGAUGUGAAAGCCCUGGGCUCAACCUGGGAAUUGCAUUCGAUACUGCAGAACUAGAGUAUGGUAGAGGGAAGUGGAAUUUCCGGUGUAGCGGUGAAAUGCGUAGAUAUCGGAAGGAACACCAGUGGCGAAGGCGACUUCCUGGGCCAAUACUGACGCUGAGGUGCGAAAGCGUGGGGAGCAAACAGGAUUAGAAACCCCAGUAGUCC